rnacentral:lncRNA from 10 species
AUUGGGGUAUAAUUUGUAUUCAGUAAAAUUUACCCUUGUAAGUAGUUCAGGUUCUUUUUUUUUUUGAGAUGGAGUUUCGCCCUUGUUGCCACCACGCCCGGUAGAGAUGAGGUUUCUCCAUGUUGGUCAGGCUGGUCUUGAACUCCCCACCUCGCCCAUCUCGGCCUCCCAAAGUGCUGGGAUUACAGGCAUGAGCUACCUCGCCUGGCUGUAAGUAGUUUAGUUUUACAAAUUUUGAGAAAUGUAUAUAGUUGUGUAGCCAUCACCACAGUUGAGAUGUUGAUUAUUACAUCACCCCGCUGGCAGAGUGGUGCAUGCCUGUAAUCCCAGCUACUUGAGGGGCUGAGGGAGAAGGAUCUCUUGAGUCCAGGAGUUUGAGGCUGCAGUGAGCUAUGAUUAUGCCACUGCACUCUGGCCUGGGCAACAGAGCGAAACCCUGUCUCUGAAUAAAUAAAUAAAUAAGUAAAUACAACAAUUAUGUCACCCCCCAAAAUUCCUUUGUGCCCUUUGUAGUCAAUCCUCUUCCUUUACCACCAGCCCACGGCAACCACUGAU